GUAAUUGUGAAGAAAGAGAUGAGUAAAUAUGGUAUAUUUUAUGUACUAAUAAUAAUGAUAAUUGGAACAAUUAUCUAUUCUGUAAUUGCUGAAUUUGAUAGCUUUAUUCAUGAUGAUGAAAAACCGUGGUAUCCAUCUCUUGAUGAUUCUCAUUUAUAUCGAGAUCGAGAUGCCUGUUUCAAAGAAUGCGACCAAACCUAUAACAAAUUUUCGUCAUCACUAUCAUACUCUAGAUGGAAAAGAUGCAGAAAACUGUGCAGAGAGUUAGAGAAAAAAUUUAUAGAGAGUAUUCCGGGGACAAAGGAACAUAUUAAAAAAAAAGGAAGGAAGCCAUAAGGGGCGGAGGAUAAGCUGCUGUUAGAGUUGGCAAACGGACAUGUCCAUCCAUCCGUCCUGUUCCGCCAAAGUCCACCACUCUAUGAGUUUAUGGAGUAUCUCAUUUUGUUCACUUUGCGUGUUGGUUAAAUUCUUAUUAAUGGUUUAGUUUUUUAAGUCUUAUGAAACGUAGUAUACUCUUCUUUGUAUGGAUUUUAAGAAUUUAAUGUAA